AGCGAACGCUGGCGGCAGGCUUAACACAUGCAAGUCGAGCGGGCGUAGCAAUACGUCAGCGGCAGACGGGUGAGUAACGCGUGGGAACGUACCUUUUGGUUCGGAACAACACAGGGAAACUUGUGCUAAUACCGGAUAAGCCCUUACGGGGAAAGAUUUAUCGCCGAAAGAUCGGGCCCCGCGUCUGAUUAGCUAGUUGGUAGGGUAAUGGGCCUACCAAGGCGACGAUCAGUAGCUGGUCUGAGAGGAUGAUCAGCCACAUUGGGACUGAGACACGGCCCAAACUCCUACGGGAGGCAGCAGUGGGGAAUAUUGGACAAUGGGGGCAACCCUGAUCCAGCCAUGCCGCGUGAGUGAUGAAGGCCCUAGGGUUGUAAAGCUCUUUGUGCGGGAAGAUAAUGACGGUACCGCAAGAAUAAGCCCCGGCUAACUCGUGCCAGCAGCCGCGGUAAU
rnacentral:rRNA from 1 species